ACGGACGCAACACCCGGUCUUUGCCUGCCCCAAUCCCGACUCCAGGCCGUCGUCCCCAACACACCAUGAGGACAAAGAUGGCGGCGGCGCUGGUCCGGGCCUCCGGGGGGAUCGGACCUCCUACGCCUGCCCGAUCCUCCUACUUCUCCUCGCGCUGCUCCUCGCUGUCCCCGCUCGCGGCCAUCUCCAACGCCUCCUCCCACGCCUACGCCUUCGCGAGCCGUCAGCCGAUGCCCGCCCCGGAUCCCACCUUCUUCGAUGAUGUCGUCGACGCCAUCGUCGACAAGUACGGCUGGGACCCCGACGCCGAGGUCCGGGUUUGGCCGCUCGACGCCGAGGGCGCGCUCGUCAACGCCGUGUAGUGCUACGAGUUCCCCGCCCACGUGGGGCCCCGUGGUCGCGCUGGCGCGGGCCUCCGACGGGGUCGUCGACUGGAGCCUCCUCGACGCCCCCGUGGUGGAGGAGGUGGUUGGGCCCAACGGGGUCGACUUCGUGACCGGCGAUGGUGACCUGGCGUUCGGCUCCGGCAUUAGGGUCCGUGACAUGGUAGGGCCGUUCGAGCUGGUGGUCUGCGAUGGCGCUGGCAGGGGCCGUGCAGAGCUCCAGUUGCCGUCGGUGAGUGUUGUUUGUCUUUUAUCUUUGUUGCUUCAGUUUUUUUGCUUCUGCUUGCUUGCUUGCUAUGCUCUUGAAGUUGUGUGGCCUGUAACAUGAAGUAGUUACUACAAUUGGUGAAUGGUCUAGCUGCUGCUUAUCCCUUUUCUGUUUCUGACUUUGAAUUGAUUGUGUUUGUUGUAGUGUCUGCACCACCGUCCGUUGAUUAGAAUGCAUGUUUCGGCAGUCCAUGCAUCGAUCACUGGCAAAUUAAAAAGGCAUGAACGCACUAAACAGAAAUUCUGUGUAGAUGAUUCUUGUAUAUGGCAGUGGCACACGCGCUGGUUGAUGAAGCCGCUGGGCCGGAAGGCCCUCUCAUUGCCAUGCUAAUGAGUAUCACGACGAACAUGGCCCCCACCUCAAUGCCUCCCUGUCGGCGGUGAGGUCCGGAUCUGUACAACCCGCAAUAUUAGUAAAGAAAAAGAAUAGCUUGAUUGUUCUAUGACUCUGUCGUGGAUAGGUAAUUUGCAUCAGAGGUCUAUAGGAUCUCCGCCAUUAGUUUCCCAUUAGAAAAUUGAGUUACUAAAUUAAGGAAGAUGUCCAAAGAGAGGUAAUCGAUGGCAUGAUAUGCAUCAGAAGAUCCUCAUCACUAAAGUAGUACUCCACCAGUCCACCUACAGUUUUGGAACAUAUAAACACGGCAUCAAAGUGCUACCUGGCACCAAAUGAAGAGUUCAGGUCAGGGUGUUAUACUGCAGCUAAGCAGUAUAGUCUGAAUUUCUAAGUUUGAGGAGGAUUUCAGUGUUUCUAAAGAAAGGGACAAGGAUCAGGGCUAUAAGAUUGUUGAAAGACUCAGAGACAUGUACCAUGAAUCGGUUCCGUAAGCUGCGGCACACAUGGUCUGCCUCCGUGUCGUCCUACCUGCUUCAGGGCCCUCUACUUCUUCCCCCAAGAUUGCCAUUAUGAUUAACAAAUCUGACGAGAGCAAUUUAAUUGGUGACACAUCAUAUUUAUUCUGCAACUGCAUGUGAAUUCUCAUCUUGCGCCUACCUCUUUUGCUUACCAGUGAAGAUGGAGAGCUUUAGGCAAAAAAAGAAAAAAAACUAGCACGUGAUCUAUGUAGAAUAAUUUUGACAGCAACUCCAACUAUGCAAUGGAGUACACUUGAUGCGAUCAAUUCUGGUGUGUGUGUGUGAUGCAAUGACGUAUGAAUAAUGACAGAAAAAUAUGCCUGAGGAGUAUGGGUAUGUAGUAACAUUUCUCUGUUAUUUUCGGAACAACUUGGAAUAUCUUAUUGGUAGUUUAUAUACAAAGUCAUUUUGAUAAUUAUCAUGCUACAAACCUACAUAGUUUUCUAUAUUAAUCAUGUCAUGCUAAAAUAUAAAAGUUAUAGCUUCAAUAAAUUGAUAAAAUACGGAUUUGGGCUUUACAUAUUUAUUGAAUAUAUAUUUACAUAUGAAUACGUGGUUACAGUCGGACUCCAAUGAGCAGCAGUGGUUGUUAUACCCCACCAGGUAACUUGCUACUGUUGGUGAAACUCUCUUGUGCAGAAAUGCCGAUCUUGAAAUCUUGAUCCUACUUAUAGGCCGUAUUGCAAGCAAUGUACUCAUGUUUUACUCAACAUGUAGGUAACAUGAAAUUUUGAUCUUCUCCCAUCACUGAAAGUUGUGUUUUAAACUUGCAAAAGCAUUGCUAAGCCUAUUCAAUCAUUUCUAUUUUACCCUAGAUUUCACUCCAUACCAUAAUUGAGAUACAAAUGGGCGUUACUGAUGUCGAGGAGAAGAGUUAGAAGCUCUUGGAUUGAGAAUCUGAGAUUUAUAUAGGUUCAGUAGAACAAAAAGUUUUGGAUUCACUACUCCAGAUACAACGGGAGACCUCUGAUGUCAUAGUUGGCAUGGACAUUUAGCAAUAAAUUUGUGCCUUCCUGAACAUUAUUACUAUUAAACUAUGAAUAAUGAUUUUUGCAACUGUAGGAGAAUUUCUUUGCCGCAUCACAAGAAAAAAAAUUUGAAACAGAAAAGUGUACUGAACCUUCUAAUUAUUGUAUGAACUUGCUUCACUUAAUUUAAGAAGUACACAUACUGCUAGCAUUUGCAUCACACUGGGCAGCCUAUUAUCGAGAGAUCUGACUUCAUCAGGAUUGCGGGUUCGUGACUUAAUCCUGAUUGGGUAUGCUGGCUGCCCGUAUAGGAUUGACGUGCCCUAUAUGCGGCGACCCGCGGCUACUCCUCCCAGCCCCGGAUAUGCUCUUCCGCCACCUGCGACCCGCAGCUCCAAUGAUCCACGACAAGGGAUGACGACCAACUCGGCUGCCCCUCCCUCGUGCAGCUCCCUCUGAGGCUGCAGCAGCCUUCGCACGAGGCCACUACGGUGCCACCUAUGCUGUCCUAAAGUUCCCUCAGUUUCGACAGUUUCAGUUUCAUCAGUUUCGUCAGAUUUAGUUUCAUCAGAUUCAAAAAAUUCAGUUCAUCAGUUUCAUCAAAGUUUCAGUUGUCAGUUAAUUUGUCGGGCACGUUGGCACUCAUGCACGUCGUCCGCUUCCUCACAUCACUCGCUUACAUAGCCCACCUGCCGAUCCAAACAACGGCUUGGUCAGGGAUCGGACUGGACCAGACGGUGUCCACCAUGACCUGAAGGCGAUGCCCGAGUCCAAGUGCGUGUAAGUUACACCAGCCUUUGAUUUAUAUAUCCACCGUCCACUGAUCAGUGACCUGAAAAGGUUGGGCGCUCUGAGCUAGCACAUAAGUUGAUUGAUGAGAUGGAUUGAAAUGCUUUUGAUUUGUUAGGCCGUCAAUAUUCCAAACUGAAGUCCAAGGAAGAACGAUCCGGAACAACAGGUAAGAAGCCCAUGAGUUAGUUGUCUUACAGGCAUGCACGUGCACAAGGUGCUGAUACAUAGCUGCAGAUUUCCAAUGGAUGCUGGUAUUGUCGGCUGGCAUCUCGUGGGCUAUACAUCAUGAUGGUUACCAAGACACGACAAUGAUCUCAAUGCUACAAACCUGAAUGGAAUACCAUAAUUGCAGACCUGAUCACAAUGCUACAGACUUGAAUGAAAGACCAUGAUUACAGGCCUUUGCUGAUUUGCGUUUUCCAUUGAUCUUCAAUGCACUAAAGAAUAGUGAAAUCUUGGCAUCUGAUUCAUUUUGCAGGCUAUGCUUUUAACUCAAUGAAAAUGUGCAUUGUUAGUUGACCUUAUUGUCUGUUUGUAGCUAAUUGGGAGACAAACAUGGGCAAUGAGCAGCUUUUUUGAUGACAGUGCAAUCAAGGACUCACAUAUUCACUGAUGAAUCUACCUCUAUUUGGUACUGUGUAUAUACCUGAAAAUAGUAGCAUCGACUUUGCAUAUUUAUUUUCUGAAUCAGCAACACUGUAUUAGGGUCUUCAUCGGCAAUGUACAUAGUGAUGCUUAACUGCCGGUUUGAAUUAUUGGAUGCAUCUGUUGUGAGACAUUCAUGUGUUGUCAUAGUGACUUGCCUGCGCUCAUUGUUGAUCGCUAAGAAGUGAGUUGGUCCAGAGAUUGCACCUGAGAUGGAGCUCAGCAGGACAACUAGACAUGCAUAGCUUGGUAUUAGUCAUAUCUAAAAUUUUACAUAUAAGUUUUUUCCUAGAUUCAAGUACAUUAUAUCAUUAUUUUGCAGGUGUGAUCCACAGAGGAGAUCACAUUUCCAGUCCAGUCAUAAAUUAUUAUAAUUAUUUUACUCAUUUUCAUACUAAAUUUGAAACGGGUCAAUCCACAAGCUUCUGAUCCUCGGUUCAUUUGUGAACUAUAUCCAUGUGUUCUAUCAAGGACCAUUUUGGCGCAUAUCGAAAAGACAAGCAAUUUUGUUACCAGAAUUAUCAUAUUUGUAAGGUCAAUCACCCAUGGGUUCUGCACUUCACUAGAAAUAAUUUGUACCCUUGACCUGAUAAGUUGUUGUUGUAUUAUGAAUUAUUCAUAGUAUGAGACCAAAUUUGUUGUUUUAGUUUCAUACAAUUUUUUGUUCUUUGAUAAAUGGAGAUUGUCAUUGUCUUCCAUUUGCAUGCCAGA